rnacentral:lncRNA from 10 species
GAACUUACAUUCAACGUAGGGACAGACAAUAAAAUAAUAAACAAAGGCUAUCAAGGUAGUAAAGUUCAAUGAAGGAAAAGUGAAGAAGAGCAAGGGGGCUGAGGAAUGAAAGGUGUCUGCCUUUUAAGACAAGAGUAGUCAGGAGAGCCUUUUACAAGAAGAUGGCAUUUGGUGAAAUGAACAAAGUGGGGGAAAUAACCAUGAGACUAUCUAGGGAAGGGAAUUCCAAGUAAGUGCCAAAGACCUGAGGUUGAAGCAUGCUUCACAAAGUAAAGGAAAAGCUGGAAGGCCUGGAUGGCUGGAGUGGAGUUAGUGACAGAGUGCUAAGAGCUGAAGCUGGGGAGGGUGGUAAGGGCCAGGUUGUGUGAGGCUUUCAAGCCAUGGUAAGGGCUACUUUAUUAUAAUUAUGGCUGUGAAUUAUUGGGGAGGGUUUUGCGUACAGAUGAGACAGGUUCUGGGUGAUGUUUUUUUUUUUUUUUUUGCGACGGAGUCUCGCUCUGUCACCCAGGCUGGAGUGCAGCGGCCCGAUCUCGACUCACUGCAAGCUCCGCCUCCUGGGUUCAUGCCAUUCUCCUGCCUCAGCCUCCUGAGUAGC